AGCCAGUCAGAGGCUGAAGGCCACUGUCAGCCAGCCAGAGGCUGAAGGCCACUGUCAGCCAGCCAGUCAGAGGCUGAAGGCCACUCCCAGUCCGUCAAUUUGCUUCGGAUAGAUCUGCAUAUCUACAGUAUCUGAAGGACAACUGUUCUGGCUGGUAUUGAAACACACACAGGAUGUGGGUCUAGGUGUUUGUGGUGUAGCAUGCCUAUAGAAAGCUACAUUCUUGCCCAGUGUCAACAGAAAAUGAACAAGAAUAUGCAACCAUUUUAAGAUGUACAAAUAAGACUAAGUUAGCUACAAGGAACUACAUUAUGAUGCAGAUUAAAAUACUGACUGGGGAAGUUAUUUUUCAGUGUUCUAGUUUCACUGACUCUACAUUCACAAACACUGUUUGGCUACUGAUGAAAAUGAGCUGUAUUUUUGGUUAUUGUGUACUGUCCUUGUUGAAUAAAUAAAUAAACUGUCUCUUCGUUCUUUCCAGGAGCUGUUGUCAGAGGUGAAAGGCGGAGAGGAGGAGAAGGGCAGGCUGUCUGGGAUGGCGGUGCACCUGCUAGCAUGGAGCAUUUCUCUGGGGAGCACCUUCUUCUGUGCACUCGGCAUCCACUGCUUUGCCAAGUACAUGCACCUGAAUUCUACUUUGAGGAGACAUGAGGAUGCAGAGGGG